CUCUUAGAUGUUCUGGGCCGCACGCGCGCUACACUGAUGCAUUCAACGAGUCUAAAACCUGCUCUGAUAGGGGUGGGUAAUCUUUUGAAUGUGCAUCGUGAUUGGGAUAGAUGAUUGCAAUUUUUCAUCUUCAACGAGGAAUGCCUAGUAAACGCAAGUCAUCAGCUUGCAUUGAUUACGUCCCUGCCCUUUGUACACACCGCCCGUCGCUCCUACCGAUUGAAUGAUCCGAUGAAUAUCAUGGAUUGAGGAUGCAAGUAGGUUAGCCUAUCUUCAUCUUCGAGAAGUGAAGUAAAUCUUAUCAUUUAGAGGAAGGAGAAGUCGUAACA
rnacentral:rRNA from 1 species